UACGAAGGGGGCUAGCGUUGCUCGGAAUCACUGGGCGUAAAGGGCGCGUAGGCGGCUUUAUAAGUCGGGGGUGAAAGCCUGUGGCUCAACCACAGAAUUGCCUUCGAUACUGUAGGGCUUGAGACCGGAAGAGGUUAGUGGAACUGCGAGUGUAGAGGUGAAAUUCGUAGAUAUUCGCAAGAACACCAGUGGCGAAGGCGGCUAACUGGUCCGGUUCUGACGCUGAGGCGCGAAAGCGUGGGGAGCAAACAGG
rnacentral:rRNA from 1 species